UAGUACGGCUUUAUGGUACAUAUUCUUGAGAAAUUACACUGGAUGUUGGUAUAGCAUCUAUUUUAGAUUUUAGCAGUAUUUGGGGCUAUUUUACCUGUUUGAAGUAUAUCAGCCAAUCUCCCUAGUGAAAUCAUAAGAAUGGGAAGUAGAAGGAAGGAAUGGUUUGUAUUACUGAGGGAAAACUCAGUGCUUUAAGACUUCGUGAUAAACAUUUGGGUGGUUACCUUUGUUGGCAAGAAGUAUAUUUCAGUAAAAUCACAACAUAUCUCACAAGGCAGCGAGUCUUCUAGUAUUUUUUCUUCAUGAUUCCACCUUGCCCCCUCAAUGAAUAAACCAAAGACGUGAACUCCAAUGUGUGUGGGGUCUGUGCCCUAAGAUCAAAGAGAGGUGUUGUCAGUGGGUCCCAGAUAGGACCUUUCCUUUAAUAGAAGCUGCAUCUGGAGGAAGGUCAGGGAGGAGAUCAAAGAAGAGGAGAUGCAUGUCUCUGCCAUUGCCAUGUGGGACCACCCCAUCCCAGGCCUGUUUCCCCAGGUUCUAAGGCCAGUGUUUUAAAAGAGAGCAAAAACAAUUACAGAACGAGUCAGCCUUCUAGCAAGAUGGAAGAGUAGCAAGACCCUGCGCUCUCCUCCUCCCAUGGCCACACCAUAUUUAUAGAGCAAAUAUUGAUGAGAACGACCUGAAGACUAGCAGAAAAGAUUUUCCACAACUCAAGAUACAAAGAAGGAACCAAAAUGAGACAGGUUGGAGGGACAGAAAUGCAGUAUAUAGCCAGGACAUGGAAGCAACCCAAGUGUCCAUCAACAGAUGAAUGGAUAAAGAAGAUGUGGCACAUACAACCAAUGGAAUAUUACUCAGCCAUAAAAAGAAAUGAAAUUGCGUUACUUGUAGUGAGAUGGAUGGACCUAGAGUUU